GUGUUCACUUUGACAGCCUUUAUACUAAAAUUGGAAUCACAGAGAAGAUUAGCAUGACCCCUGCACAAGGAUAACAUGCAAAUUCAUGAAGCAUUUUAUAUUUUU